rnacentral:rRNA from 1 species
UACAGAGACUGCAAGCGUUAUUCGGAUUCACUGGGCGUAAAGGGUGCGCAGGCGGUUGGGUGUGUCAGAUGUGAAAUCCCGAGGCUUAACCUCGGAACUGCGUCUGAAACUACUCGACUAGAGUACUGGAGAGGGUAACGGAAUUCACGGUGUAGCAGUGAAAUGCGUAGAUAUCGUGAGGAACACCAGAGGCGAAGGCGGUUACCUGGACAGUUGCUGACGCUCAGGCACGAAAGCAUGGGGAGCAAAAGGG